AACGAACGCUGGCGGCAGGCUUAACACAUGCAAGUCGAGCGAGACCUUCGGGUCUAGCGGCGGACGGGUGAGUAACGCGUGGGAACGUGCCCUUCUCUACGGAAUAGCCCCGGGAAACUGGGAGUAAUACCGUAUACGCCCUUUGGGGGAAAGAUUUAUCGGAGAAGGAUCGGCCCGCGUUGGAUUAGGUAGUUGGUGGGGUAAUGGCCCACCAAGCCGACGAUCCAUAGCUGGUUUGAGAGGAUGAUCAGCCACACUGGGACUGAGACACGGCCCAGACUCCUACGGGAGGCAGCAGUGGGGAAUCUUAGACAAUGGGGGCAACCCUGAUCUAGCCAUGCCGCGUGAGUGAUGAAGGCCUUAGGGUUGUAAAGCCCUUUCAGCUGGGAAGAUAAUGACGGUACCAGCAGAAGAAGCCCCGGCUAACUCCGUG
rnacentral:rRNA from 1 species